AUUGAACGCUGGCGGCAGGCUUAACACAUGCAAGUCGAGCGGGGUGAUGGUGCUUGCACUAUCACUUAGCGGCGGACGGGUGAGUAAUGCUUAGGAAUCUGCCUAUUAGUGGGGGACAACAUCUCGAAAGGGAUGCUAAUACCGCAUACGUCCUACGGGAGAAAGCAGGGGAUCACUUGUGACCUUGCGCUAAUAGAUGAGCCUAAGUCGGAUUAGCUAGUUGGUGGGGUAAAGGCCUACCAAGGCGACGAUCUGUAGCGGGUCUGAGAGGAUGAUCCGCCACACUGGGACUGAGACACGGCCCAGACUCCUACGGGAGGCAGCAGUGGGGAAUAUUGGACAAUGGGGGGAACCCUGAUCUAGCCAUGCCGCGUGUGUGAAGAAGGCCUUAUGGUUGUAAAGCACUUUAAGCGAGGAGGAGGCUUACCUAGUUAAUACCUGGGAUAAGAGGACGUUACUCGCAGAAUAAGCACCGGCUAACUCUGUGCCAGCCGCCGCAGUAA
rnacentral:rRNA from 1 species